AGCGGAAGUAACUCAAUUGGUAGAGUGUAAGCUUGCCAAGCUUAAAGUUGAGGGUUCAAAUCCCUUUUUUCGCUU
rnacentral:tRNA from 2 species